CUACGGGUGGCAGCAGGUACGAAAACUUUACAAUGCACGAAAGUGUGAUAAGGGAAUCCGAAGUGCUUACCUUCUGGGUAGGCUUUUCUUAAGCGUAAGCAACUUAAGGAAUAAGUGGUGGGAAAUACCGGUGCCAGCAGCCGCGGUAAUACCGGAGCCACAAGUGGGAAUCGUGAUUAUUGGGCCUAAAGCGUCCGUAGCCGGUUUAGUAAAUCUUUUGUGAAAUUGUUAAACUCAAUUUAGCAACGUGCAAGAGACACUGCUAGACUUGAGACCGGGAAGAGACAGAAGUAUUCCUUGGGAAGCGGUAAAAUGUUUUAAUCCUUGGAGGACUACCAAUGGCGAAGGCAUCUGUCUAGAACGGCUUUGACGGUGAGGGACGAAGGCUAGGAGAACGAUCGGGAUUAGAUACCCUAGUAGUC
rnacentral:rRNA from 1 species